CUAUUUGGAAAAUAACAUUCUCUGUUCCCUAUUUUUCUCCCUUUUCAGUGGAAUAGUGUCAUUGCUGUUAUCCCUUCAGGUAUGCAGUGGAUUGGAUCAUGGUCACUUCCCAGAGGCAUUUUGAUUCCCAACAGGAGAAAAUCCUUCAAGCCUGUGAAUACAACUAUUUUGGCUGGAUUAUCGUGGCAGUUUCUUCUGGCUUGGAAAUACCUGAUUGUGGAAAACUCUGAAUCACUCUAUUUUGG
rnacentral:lncRNA from 1 species